AUCCGGCCGAUUCGGCCGAACGGGGCGGCCCAGGACCGCGCGCGACUCGUGCACCUGAAGUGGUCGCGUGCCCUCACCUCCUCCCAUCCUUUUCUCUCUUUUUUCUCCUCUGUUCUCACCGGUUCACAGUGGCAAACCCUAGCUCUCCUCCCUCAUUCGGCGGCGCAUCAGGCGGGGUGGUUCGGCGGAGCGGGUGGCCGCGCCGGGGACGAGCGGCAAGCGGGGCGGGCGGCAGGUGUCGGCGGCGCGGGUUCUCGCUCUCUAGCGGCGCGGGCGGAGGGAACCGGCGGCGCGGGUGCUCGCCCUCUAGCGGCGCGGGCGGAGGGAACAGGCAGCGCGGGCGAUGACUACAGGUGGCGCGGCGGCGACUCCAGGCAACGCGGCGGCGACUGCAGGCGGCACGGCGGCGAGUCCACGCGGCAGCUGCGGCGGCGAGUAGAAACAAUAUCACUCUCUUUGCAUUCCUCCUCGUUUGAAGGCAAUGGAGGGAAGUGGACAAAGUGAUAAGGGUGGACAUGUUACAUGGACAUCUUCAAUGUCUACCUACAUGCUUGAAUACCUCGAGGAUAUUGUUGCUAGUGGGAACAAAACUUCCUCGGGGUUUAAGCAAGUCCACUUGAAGGCUUGUGCUAAAGCUUUGAAUGAUCACUUCAAUAUUAAUUUGACUUCAGAUCAGAUUACUAAUCACAUUAGGACUUGGAAAAGGAAAUAUUCUAAGAUAGCUGAUCUGAGGAAGUUGAGUGCUGCUCUUUCGGAUGAUGACAAUUUUAUCAUAUCACUUGAUCAUAAACAUUAUGCAGACCACAUCAAGGAUCACAAGGCUGAUGCUGAAUAUCUGAACAAACCUAUUCACAAUUAUAGCAAAAUGCUUGUCAUAUUUGGCAAUAGCUUGGCUACAGGGAAAUAUGCAAAAGGAUCAGGUGAUCCUCUAGCCACUGAAUCUAUUCCCAUUGAUGAUGAUGAAGAAGAAGAGUAAAUUGGUAUUGGAAGUGCUGCAGCAACUGGAUCAGCUAGUAGAGUUCAUGCCCUUAAUGAGGAGAAUGGUGCAUCAUCUUCAGCACCCAAACCCAAGAAAGCAAAGACUGCUGCUGCAAUUGAAGAGAAAGGGCUGAUAGGCGCAUUUAAAUCUGUUGGUGACAAGCUUGCUGGAGCAAUAGUUGAAGCUGGAAAAGAGGCUGCAAAAUCUAAUAAUGAGCUGCCCGAUAACCUGUAUGAGAGUGUGCAUAGCAUUCUAGGGUUUGAAGAUGCACAUCUUACUCAUUAUCAUGCACAUCUAGUUGACAAUCCUCCAACUGCAAGGGUGUUUGUUACCCUUGCAUUUGCUCACAAGGUCACUUGGGUUGCAAGAUAUAUUGCCACCACUUUUAAUGGGUGAACUGUGUUGUGAUGGUUGUGUGAUGCUGUUGGUAGUUGCCCUGUGUUCAACCUUCUUUUGCAUACUCAAACAAUGAACUAUGAGUAUUGUGUGAUGGUAUAUGUUAGAUGGUAAUAGGCCUGCAUUCAACCUUAUUUUGCAUACUCAGACAUUAAACUAUGAGUAUUAAGUGUGAUGGCAUUUGGUAGAUGGUAAAUAGGCUUGUGUUAGCCUACUUUUGUCCCUAAACCAGUCACUUGUAUUGGAUGUAUGGUUGAUGGUAAAAUUCAGAUGUGGUGGUUCCAUUGGAUGAUGGUUAAUUGAUAUAUUUUUGCAUAUUUCAUUUA